GACGAACGCUGGCGGCGUGCUUAACACAUGCAAGUCGAACGGAAAGGCCCUGCGUUUGUGGGGUGCUCGUUUGGCGAACGGGGGAGUAACACGCGAGUAACCUGCCCUUGACUUUGGGAUAAAUUCAGGAAACUGGGGCUAAUACCCGAUAGGAUCUCCUGCUGCACGGUGGGGGAUGGAGAGUUUCGGCGGUUGGGGAUGGACUCGCGGCUUAUCAGCUUGUUGGUGGGGUAGUGAAUUACAAAGGCUUUGACGGGUAGCCGGCCUGAGAGGGUUACCGGCCACAUUGGGACUGCGAUACGGCCCAGACUCCUACGGGCGGCAGCGGUGGGAAAUAUUGCGCAAUGGGCGGAAGCCUGAUGUAGAGACGCCGCGUGCGGGAUGACGGCCUUCGGGUUGUAAACCGCUUUCGCCUGUGACGAAGCGUGCGUGACGGUAAUGGGUAAAGAAGCACCGGCUAACUACGUG
rnacentral:rRNA from 1 species